UAAAAAAAAAACAGCUAGCAAAACAUGGCAGAAUUUGUUUCGUUUCCCUUUCUGUCACAGCGAUUUGGUAAAUACACGGAAAAUAAAUUCCGCCCUUUGAUACUAUUUGCAUAGAUAGAUAACGCUUGUAAGUGACUAAUGCCUUGGAUUAAUUAUUGUUUCUCCAGCUGACCGCUGGGAGUUAUCAAUGCCGAGUCCAUUUUCCAGUUGUUAAUGUGUGUGGUGGAGUGUUCGUGUUGUAAAUGUUGAUUUGGUAAGAAGCAGGCUUCAGUGGCUUCCGUAGGCCUCCGAGAACAAGUGCUCCUCUAAAAUGGAAGGUGGCAACGACCAGGAUCGUGACCGCGCGCAGUUGGGAGUGGACUAUAGUGCAGUAGAGGGGGAUGGAGACCGUGGGAGGUAUAGCCUGCUGGUGCGCUGCGCGUCGCAGUCGUCGCUGGACGAGUCGUCGCAGCGGCCGGCGGGCGAGGCGGCGGCCGACGCGGCGGCGCCCG